rnacentral:tRNA from 3 species
UCCUCGGUAGCUCAACGGUAGAGCAUUCGGCUGUUAACCGAAGGGUUGUAGGUUCGAAUCCUACCCGGGGAGCCA